GAUGAACGCUGGCGGCGUGCCUAAUACAUGCAAGUCGAGCGAACAGACGAGGAGCUUGCUCCUCUGACGUUAGCGGCGGACGGGUGAGUAACACGUGGAUAACCUACCUAUAAGACUGGGAUAACUUCGGGAAACCGGAGCUAAUACCGGAUAAUAUAUUGAACCGCAUGGUUCAAUAGUGAAAGACGGUUUUGCUGUCACUUAUAGAUGGAUCCGCGCCGCAUUAGCUAGUUGGUAAGGUAACGGCUUACCAAGGCAACGAUGCGUAGCCGACCUGAGAGGGUCAUCGGCCACACUGGAACUGAGACACGGUCCAGACUCCUACGGGAGGCAGCAGUAGGGAAUCUUCCGCGAUGGGCGAAAGCCUGACGGAGCAACGCCGCGUGAGUGAUGAAGGUCUUCGGAUCGUAAAACUCUGUUAUUAGGGAAGAACAAAUGUGUAAGUAACUAUGCACGUAUUGACGGUACCUAAUCAGAAAGCCACGGCUAACUACGUG
rnacentral:rRNA from 1 species